UGAUUAGCUCAGCUGGUAGAGCAACUGACUCUUAAUCAGGAGGUCCAGGGUUCGAACCCCUGAUUGC
rnacentral:tRNA from 1 species